UACCGGCGCCACAAGUGGAGAUCAUGUUUAUUGGGUCUAAAGUGUUCGUAGCUGGCUAUGUAAGUUUCUUGUGAAAGUUCUGUGGCUUAACCCAGAAAUUGCAAGGAAUACUGCAAAGCUUGAGAUCGGGAGAGGUAUGAGGUAUUGUUUGGGUAGCGGUAAAAUGUUAUAAUCCUUACAAGACCAACUAAGGCGAAGGCAUCAUACUUGAACGAAUCUGACAGUGAGGAACGAGAGCUGGGGGAGCGAA
rnacentral:rRNA from 1 species